rnacentral:rRNA from 1 species
CAGUCGCCGCGGGAAUACGUAGGUGGCAAGCGUUGUCCGGAAUUAUUGGGCGUAAAGGGCUCGCAGGCGGUUUCUUAAGUCUGAUGUGAAAGCCCCCGGCUCAACCGGGGAGGGUCAUUGGAAACUGGGAAACUUGAGUGCAGAAGAGGAGAGUGGAAUUCCACGUGUAGCGGUGAAAUGCGUAGAGAUGUGGAGGAACACCAGUGGCAAAGGCGACUCUCUGGUCUGUAACUGACGCUGAGGCUCGAAAGCCAGGGGAGCGAACGGGAUUAGAUACCCGCGUAGUCCCUGUCUCUUAUAC